UGAGAUGGAUAAACGAAGGUGUGGCUC
rnacentral:piRNA from 1 species